ACUCAGACACACACACUCACUCACAGACACACACGCUCAGUCACUCACAGACACACACACUCUGUCACUCACACACACUGUCACUCACAGACACACGCUCAGUCACUCAGACACACACACUCACUCACAGACACACACGCUCAGUCACUCACAGACACACACGCUCAGUCACUCACAGACACACACACUCUGUCACUCACACACACUGUCACUCACAGACACACGCUCAGUCAUUCAGACACACACACUCACUCACAGACACACACGCUCAGUCACUCACAGACACACACACACAGUCACUCACAGACACACACGCUCAGUCACUCACAGACACACACACACUCAGUCACUCACACACACACUCUGUCACUCACACACACAUAGUCACUCACAGACACACACGCUCAGUCACUCACAG